UCCAGACUCCUACGGGAGGCAGCAGUGGGGAAUAUUGCACAAUGGGGGAAACCCUGAUGCAGCGACGCCGCGUGAGCGAAGAAGUAUUUCGGUAUGUAAAGCUCUCUCAGCAGGGAAGAAAAAAUGACGGUACCUGACUAAGAAGCACCGGCUAAAUACGUGCCAGCAGCCGCGGUAAUACGUAUGGUGCAAGCGUUAUCCGGAUUUACUGGGUGUAAAGGGGGCGCAGGCGGUACGGCAAGUCUGAUGUGAAAGCCCGGGGCUCAACCCCGGUACUGCAUUGGAAACUGUCGGACUAGAGUGUCGGAGGGGUAAGUGGAAUUCCUAGUGUAGCGGUGAAAUGCGUAGAUAUACGGAGGAACACCAGUGGCGAAGGCGGAUUGCUGGACAGUAACUGACGCUGAGGCGCGAAAGCGUGGGGAGCAAACAGGAUUAGAUACCCUGGUAU
rnacentral:rRNA from 1 species